rnacentral:rRNA from 1 species
UGGGGAAUUUUGGACAAUGGGCGAAAGCCUGAUCCAGCAAUGCCGCGUGUGUGAAGAAGGCCUUCGGGUUGUAAAGCACUUUUGUCCGGAAAGAAAUCCUUGGCUCUAAUACAGUCGGGGGAUGACGGUACCGGAAGAAUAAGCACCGGCUAACUACGUGCCAGCAGCCGCGGUAAUACGUAGGGUGCAAGCGUUAAUCGGAAUUACUGGGCGUAAAGCGUGCGCAGGCGGUUUGCUAAGACCGAUGUGAAAUCCCCGGGCUCAACCUGGGAACUGCAUUGGUGACUGGCAGGCUAGAGUAUGGCAGAGGGGGGUAGAAUUCCACGUGUAGCAGUGAAAUGCGUAGAGAUGUGGAGGAAUACCGAUGGCGAAGGCAGCCCCCUGGGCCAAUACUGACGCUCAUGCACGAAAAGCGUGGGGAGCAAACAGGAUUAGAUACCCUGGUAGUCCACGCCCUAAAACGAUGUCAACUAGUUGUUGGGGAUUCAUUUCCUUAGUAACGUAGCUAACGCGUGAAGUUGACCGCCUGGGGAGUACGGUCGCAAGAUUAAAACUCAAAUGAAUUGACGGGGU